ACAAGCGGUGGAUCAUGUUGUUUAAUUCGAUGAUACGCGAAGAACCUUACCAGGUCUUGACAUCCCCCGCGAUGCUUUAGAGAUAAAGCGGAGGUAUUCGGGGAGACAGGUGGUGCAUGGUUGUCGUCAGCUCGUGUCGUGAGAUGUUGGGUUAAGUCCCGUAACGAGCGCAACCCUUGUCCUUAGUUACCAGCACGUUAUGGUGGGCACUCUAAGGAGACUGCCGGUGACAAACCGGAGGAAGGUGGGGAUGACGUCAAGUCAUCAUGGCCCUUACGGCCUGGGCUACACACGUGCUACAAUGGUCGGUACAAAGGGUUGCCAAGCCGCGAGGUGGAGCUAAUCCCAUAAAACCGAUCGUAGUCCGGAUCGCAGUCUGCAACUCGACUGCGUGAAGUCGGAAUCGCUAGUAAUCGUGAAUCAGAAUGUCACGGUGAAUACGUUCCCGGGCCUU
rnacentral:rRNA from 1 species